CGUGAGGUUAGUGCAAUGGCAUAAGCCCGCUUGACUGCGAGAAUGACAAUUCGAGCAGGUGCGAAAGCAGGUCAUAGUGAUCCGGUGGUUCUGAAUGGAAGGGCCAUCGCUCAACGGAUAAAAGGUACUCCGGGGAUAACAGGCUGAUACCGCCCAAGAGUUCAUAUCGACGGCGGUGUUUGGCACCUCGAUGUCGGCUCAUCACAUCCUGGGGCUGAAGUCGGUCCCAAGGGUAUGGCUGUUCGCCAUUUAAAGUGGUACGCGAGCUGGGUUUAGAACGUCGUGAGACAGUUCGGUCCCUAUCUGCCGUGGGCGUUGGAGAAUUGAAAGGGGCUGCUCCUAGUACGAGAGGACCGGAGUGGACGAACCUCUGGUGUUCGGGUUGUGUCGCCAGACGCAUUGCCCGGUAGCUAAGUUCGGGAUCGAUAACCGCUGAAAGCAUCUAAGCGGGAAGCGAGCCUUGAGAUGAGUUCUCCCUGAUACUUUAAGUAUCCUAAAGGGUUGUCGUAGACUACGACGUUGAUAGGCAGGGUGUGUAAGCGUUGUGAGGCGUUGAGCUAACCUGUACUAAUUGCCCGUGAGGCUUAACCAUACUGUGUAAGCGUUGUGAGGCGUUGAGCUAACCUGUACUAAUUGCCCGUGAGGCUUAACCAUACAACACCCAAGGGGUUU
rnacentral:rRNA from 1 species